AAUAGAUACCCGGGUAGUCCACGCCGUAAACGAUGAGUGCUAAGUGUUAGGGGGUUUCCGCCCCUUAGUGCUGCAGCUAACGCAUUAAGCACUCCGCCUGGGGAGUACGGUCGCAAGACUGAAACUCAAAGGAAUUGACGGGGGCCCGCACAAGCGGUGGAGCAUGUGGUUUAAUUCGAAGCAACGCGAAGAACCUUACCAGGUCUUGACAUCCCAUUGACCACUAUGGAGACAUAGUUUUCCCUUCGGGGACAACGGUGACAGGUGGUGCAUGGUUGUCGUCAGCUCGUGUCGUGAGAUGUUGGGUUAAGUCCCGCAACGAGCGCAACCCUUGUUCUUAGUUGCCAUCAUUUAGUUGGGCACUCUAAGGAGACUGCCGGUGACAAACCGGAGGAAGGUGGGGAUGACGUCAAAUCAUCAUGCCCCUUAUGACCUGGGCUACACACGUGCUACAAUGGACGGUACAAACGGUUGCCAACCCGCGAGGGGAGCUAAUCCGAUAAAACCGUUCUCAGUUCGGAUUGUAGGCUGCAACUCGCCUACA
rnacentral:rRNA from 1 species